CAAGUCGAGCGGCAGCGCGGGGCAACCUGGCGGCGAGCGGCGAACGGGUGAGUAAUGCAUCGGAACAUGUCCAUGUCGUGGGGGAUAGCCCGGCGAAAGCCGGAUUAAUACCGCAUACGCCCGAGAGGGGAAAGUGGGGGACCGCAAGGCCUCACGCGAUUGGGUUGGCCGAUGUCCGAUUAGCUAGUUGGUGGGGUAAAGGCUUACCAAGGCGAUGAUCGGUAGCUGGUCUGAGAGGAUGAUCAGCCACACUGGGACUGAGACACGGCCCAGACUCCUACGGGAGGCAGCAGUGGGGAAUUUUGGACAAUGGGGGCAACCCUGAUCCAGCCAUUCCGCGUGAGUGAAGAAGGCCUUCGGGUUGUAAAGCUCUUUUGUCCGGAACGAAACGGUGGACGUGAAUAUCGUUCGCUACUGACGGUACCGGAAGAAUAAGCACCGGCUAACUACGUGCCAGCAGCCGCGGUAAUACGUAGGGUGCGAGCGUUAAUCGGAAUUACUGGGCGUAAAGCGUGCGCAGGCGGUUUUGUAAGCCAGAUGUGAAAUCCCCGGGCUCAACCUGGGAAUGGCAUUUGGGACUGCAAGGCUGGAGUGCGGCAGAGGAGACUGGAAUUCCUGGUGUAGCAGUGAAAUGCGUAGAUAUCAGGAGGAAUACCGAUGGCGAAGGCAGGUCUCUGGGCUGACACUGACGCUCAUGCACGAAAGCGUGGGGAGCAAACAGGAUUAGAUACCCUGGUAGUCCACGCCCUAAACGAUGUCGACUGGUUGUUGGGGGUUUGACACUCUCAGUAACGAAGCUAACGCGUGAAGUCGACCGCCUGGGGAGUACGGCCGCAAGGUUAAAACUCAAAGGAAUUGACGGGGACCCGCACAAGCGGUGGAUUAUGUGGAUUAAUUCG
rnacentral:rRNA from 1 species